GAGAUCCCCGACCGGCAGCGCCAUUUUAGGCGCGCGCACAGACACGGGCUCGGUUUCCGCUGCUGCUGCUGCUUGGAGAGACAACAAGCAGGCGGUGACAGAGGCGGAGGAGGGGCGGCGGCGGCGGCAGCAGCAGCAACGGGCCAGAGGAAAGGAGAAGGGCCUCCUUGGAGCCUACCCGCUUGGCACUCAAUGGGUCUUUCAGGUACCUAAGCGGACGCCGCCUCCCUGGGUAUCAGCCAAGCGAGAGCGGGGGAAAACGCAGGCAAGGCCCCGUCGGCGCCUGCGGCCCAUUAACCCCUCGCACGCCCCCCAGCCCGGACAGCAGGCAAGCUGGCUGGCUUGCAAAGACAGAAGGAAGAGGUUCCUCCCAGACCAGUUUUGGUCUCACAAGGGUGUGCUAAGAAUCCAGGUUAGAGGGGGAAUAGGCUGAAAGAAAUUAUUUUUUUAAAAAACCAAAACCGUGUUUGUUAAUAGGAAAGUUUAAGAAGGAAAACCAGCACAAGUAUCGAGCUAUGUGCGUGACUAGUACACAUAAAAAACCAGCCCAGACCCAAGGUCGGUUGCUGUGAAGACCGGGAUGAAAUGGUAAACCCGCUUGCUCCACACCCUCUUGCUUUUUAAGCCCCACGGUCUACAGCAGCGCGCGUGCACCGGGGAGGCGCACACCCACAGCCGAGUUUCUCCCCACCCCCUUCGUGAUGAAUGCGCCCCCCGCCCUUUCUCUUUCCCAUUGCCUGCCCCGCUUGGGUCGGCGCUGCCCUUUGUGGCUUUUUCGGCCCGGCGGCCGCGCUGCGAGAGCCCAAAGGAGGUCGGCGUCGGCCCCCGUAUUCACCGGGGAAACGAGCAGAUAUUGAUCACGGGCGAGUUGAUUUUGCUUAAUUGUGGCUGACAGUGCCUGUGGUUUCCUCAUUUACGGAGCAACAGCAUCGAGGGUCUGAUUGAUUGGGAGCGCAGCGCCUCCCACUCCCCGCUCUCCCUCCCGGCAGACACACACACACAGGGGGGUGGGGGCGAGCAGCCACCUCCGAGAGGAGCCUGUGUGAAGGCGAGUCCCUCGGGAGGGGAAGCAGCAGCUUCUCAUUAUUCAGCAAAUGGCCGGCGCGCCGGCAGCUAGAGAUGCAGCUUGGUUGGUUCGCUGUCGAGCGCUCGGGCGAGCUUAAGUAGCCUUAAAUCCUCCCGCUCCCCCCGCAGGACCGUCUGCCUGCUUUUGCCUGCGUCGUCGGCCCCUACGCCUCCACCGCCGCCGCCGCCUCCUCCUCCUCCUCUUCGCCCGCCAGCAGAUUGGUCCGCGAGUUAAGCGCUCGCGAAUGGAGAGCUUUUAACAGGGCGGGGGGUUGCAAUCCUCGUCGCCUAAGCGCUCGCUCAGUCAAAGUCCCCACGCCGAGGUGGCGAACUCGUCCCCCGCAAACUUAACUCAGGAGCAACCUCGCUCUCCUUUCAAUGAAAUGACGCCAUAGCAAAGCAGCUUAAGGCGCAAUCCAGCGCUCACAAGCCCCGGUUGAAAUUAAUUGCUAAAGAACAGCAGCCGCUCCCUGCGCAGCUCUGUCAGCCGGGCUUGCGCAGGAGACCUUCCCGUUGGCUUGCGUCCUUAGCCAUCUCUUCCUGCGAAGAAGAAGCGAAAAUCCAAACCACCAGCACCGUCACACUUCGUCUGUACAACUCCUACCAGUAAGGAGUUUUGGUGCCAGCGCUUUCUGGAAAAUGUACAUUAAACGUGCCUUUUAAAAUAAAGAUGAGCGCAGCAGACAUAAAUGUCAGAAAAGGAGCUGUGUGGCAACCAUCUGCAAGCCGCUUGAUCCAGGAUGACUUCACAAUUGCCCUGCGACCCUUUUUAUAUCUACUCAGAAGUAAACCUCGUUGAGCUGAAUGGGGCUUACUCACAGGUGAGCGCGCAUAGGAUUGCCGCCUUAAAUGUGAAAUCUGGGCCCAGUCCCUAAACCUGCCUAUCAGUUGCAGGAGGGUUUCUUCCACGAAUCAUGUUCUCCAAUCCAGGUUUCCCUACAUUAGCAUUUCUAGCUAACUGUCCCAUCCCAAGUGCUUUCCGCUCCUUUAACUUUUUUUAGCCCCCCUAAAGUGCAUUCCUGCACCCCCGGGGUGGGUUCCAUCGUAAAGCAAAUGAGCACAGGAUUGCAGGCGGUCCAAGGCUCACCGAGAGGAGCCUUUACACAGAAUACACAGCGACACCUGCUUCCAGGUAAACAUACAUAGGAUGGAGCCGAAAGACAAUUUUUGCGAAGACGACUAGGGCUUGGGCAUCACUCAUAGGAACAAAGGCUUAUCAUGAACCAGACCAUGGGCCUAUCUUGCUCAUAUUGUCUACACUGACCGGCAGCAGCUCUCCAGGGUUUCAGGAAGGCCUACCUGGAGACGCCAGGGAUUGAAGCAGGGAUUGUCUGCGUGCAAGGCAGACGCUCUACCACUCAGCCAGGGACUCCCCAAGUCCAAACAGGGCCGCUGGUGGGGAUAGGAAGUGUUCCUCAAUUCUAACUGUACAUCGCCUAGCACCCUAAGGAAAAACCCUCCAGUCUCCCAGAGGCAUCUUCAGCAGAAUCUAUUCCGCCUUUACUAAAAGCAUCGUACGUGUCCUCAAGCAGCAAGCAGCGAUCUAGAGGAAUCCUCCGGUUUUAAUAUCCCAGCAAUGCGCAGGGCAAGAACCGGCCGAGGGAGCACAGAGCAGGGCCUCGCGGACAAAGUUUCACGGCGCAGCUGGGAUUGCUCCUCUGGCUGCGAAGCUGCGCGCCCCCUCGGCCUUCCUCGGAAGACUUAAGGACCCCGGCGCAGCCUGCCUUGCCAUCUUGAAGUCGUCGGCUCCGAAACGCGAGGGAGGUGAGGGGGGCUGAGCGCGGAAGCAACUGCGCUGCAGAUGGGCGGCUAUGAAUUUUUGCUGCUGCUUCGAGCCUUAAUUACUGGCUCUUGAUCCGUGGGACUAGGACACGACACCGCCAAGGUUAAAAUGCCCGGAACAGCUCUGAGCAGAUGUGAGCGAGUUGGCAGACGCGCAAAUGAGGUCUGCCUCCAAGCACGAUAACAAGUGACUAAUACAUUGCAUAUCGCUGAAAGAAAAUUAUUUUCCUCUCAUUUGCAUUAGCUCUCUCCCCCCCGCCCCAAGACCAAAAUAAAAAGCCAACGACAGCACCACCACUCGCGCGCCCCGCUCAGAGGCAGCAGUCUAAUCCGGGGGUGGGGGGUGGGGGGAGAGAAAGAUGCUGGGUGACUUUUAGAAAUUUGUGGAAGCAGGAAAAGAUUUGCCAGUGUUUUGGCAAGGCAGCCGUGUUUAUCUUUCCGCCUUUGCUCCAAGGCAAAAGUAGUUUCGCAAGCAACAUUCCUGCAGAAAAUGGCAGACGUCACGUUAGAGCUCGAUUUAUUGCUCUGGCGCUUAAUGAAUGACUGCUGGGGGUAUCUUCCACCCAGAGUGCCUCGUGCACAGAAACUGGAGAGUGACAGAUAUGCCGCAUGAGAGUGACGAGGAAUGAAAUUCGAUGUACAGUUGCCAGUUGCCCUGAAACAAGCCGGCAUUGCCCAAAACAGAAAUUCUUUUCACAAACCAGAAGUGCUCGGAUUGAAGACGAUCGGCGCCACAAUCCAAAACAAAAUAGAAUAAUCCUUAUUCCCAGGUUUUAUAUGACUUGCCUCCCCGCUGCAUGCAUGUUAAUUCCGAAGCAAGUCCCACAGUGCUGAAUGGAGCUCAUCCGCUUCCAAGCAGGGUUAGAGCUGUAUCACUAAUGGCUUUCCGUUGAAAUCAAAAUGACAUAUUUCCAAGCUGUUAAGGGGGGGGGCAUUUCAGACAGGCUGACCCCUCACUUUAGCGAGACUAAUCAUCUCGGUACUAAACCAGUUUAUUAAACAGAUCCCAUUGAAAUCAAUUGAUGUGAAUCGUACUGGGAUCACAGGUUCCUUAAAAAGCAUUGAAAGAUUUAACUGCCAAGUGUAAAUCUACUUUCCUGUAUACUCGCAAUCAAUUUGAAAACACUAGGACAUUUUCACACAAUAUGUUACAAGUUUUCUUUUCUUUUUUGUUUUUCCCACAUCUUUAAUUCAAAUAUAAGACCUAAACAAGCUACAAUGCCUGUUCAUUUUAAACAUGGCUCUUUUUCUCUCUUUGUCACACUUUAAGUGUUUUUGCAGCCAUAGUGUAUAUCAGUAGUGCAAGAGAAUACUCAGAAUUAUAUUUCAUGUUGUGUGCAUGUGCCCUUAUAGGUCUUUCCCAGAUGCACUCAAAUGGCCCAAGUGAGAUGGGAAAAACAUAUUGAAAACUGCUUCAGCUUCACUUUAUGAAGUGUGGGAAUUCAGACACACUUUUGUACUUCCAGAUUAAUGUGUGAAACAGGAAAUUGCACGAGUGAGAUGCACAGGAAACAUAUGGGGGGGGGGUUCGUGCAUUCCAUGCAAGGAGAAAUUGGGUGCAUUCUUCACAUAUUACACCAAAGCAUUAAAAGCCCACUUUGCCAUCAUGUCUCUAGCCAUUUUGGGUCAUUAGCAAUAAGGCCCUGAUGCACUUUCCAAGCUGGGAAAGCUGUAUAGGCUAUUAAUUGGCUAUAUUGAUAUAGUUGAUAUACAAAGAAGUGCUCCUUCCAUUACCUACAUAAGGAAGCGUCAAAUUUCUGUAGCAGAAUGAUUCCCACCUAAUCUGAAAAGUUUAUGAAGAGGAGUGAAGCUACCUCACUCUGCUAGGGGGACAGGAAGGCUGUGGCAAAGCAGAGUGUUUCUUGCGCAUGUGUGAUCAAAGAGCCACUCUGGAUAACAGGUUUCACUCCCGCUGAGCCAAAGCAAAGUCUAGGAACCAUGUCAAUGUGAUGCAAGUAAAGCAAUGAUCCAGGCUACAGUCCCUAACUACAUUUACCUGUAAGUAAGCCCCAUUAAAUUCAAUAGAAUUUACUGCAGAGUAGACAAGGUUAGAAUUGCACAUUGCUAAAUUUCACAGAACUGUAGAGUUGGAAGGGACCACGAGGAUCAUCUAGUCCAACCCCCUGCAAGACAGGAAUCCUUUGCUGAACCUGGGACUUGAACCCACAACCCUGAGAUUAAGAUUCUCAUGCUAUACAGCUGAGGGUUUUGUUCUGUUUACUGUUAUGCAAAUGUUGGCCACACUGAAAUAAGCAUUGUGUAAGCACCAUUUUUGAGGUCAGUAUGCCUCAGUAUAUCAGUUUCUGCUAUUAAACGUAUGGCCUGCUUUCAGGCUUCCCAUAGAUAUCUGGUGGACCAGUCUGAGAAAAGGAUGCUGCACCACAUGGGCCACGCCCCUGAUUCAGCACUCAUUUCUUAUUAAACCUGACUCUCAACCAAGAGAAUCAGGAGCAGGAUCACACAAACAGGAUGUUGUUGCCCCUAACAAAAUUGGUGUACCUCAGUCAUUGACAUUACUGUUUAUGUAAAAGCAGGGAGAAAACCUGCAAACAAAGCAUCAUGAGAUAGAUUCCUUUUGCUGCAAAAGUAGUUUUGCUUCACGUUUUAACACUUAGACAUUGUGAGAAUAGCAGCCUAGUUUUCUCAGAAUAGAUUCAGUUUAUUUCGGAACUUGAUCGUACAAUAUUUAAAAACAAUGGAAAGUUAACAGAUUUGUUCAAUAAAUACAAUGGAAAUUUCCUCACAUUACAAACUAAUCUAACUCUGUUUUGAAUUACCAUGCAAAUCAGAACACACAAAACACACUGUGUGUAGCCCUGUUCUUCUAUUUCUCUCACUCACACAUACAUGCACGCCAAACCUUAUCUUUCUUCUCCUAGGAAAGCCAGGCAGUUUUGACUCAGUCUUCAGUAAAAAGCAGUUUUCUCCCGCUAUGUGCAAAAGGUAUGCCUAUCUUGAACUCCUCUAUCACUUUUUAAAUACCAGUUUGAUUAUUUCAGAGUGAUUAGAACACAGUAAAUUCAUGGAUUUCACUUGUAAGCUUAGGAUCACAGCCCUAGACCUCACCCAUCUUGGAUGAGCUUUCCUUGGUAUUUUUUAUGUUCUGGUUUCAAACAAAGCCAUACUCAUUUAGCAAGGGGUGUGACUGCAUACUGGAGCUGGUCUUGUGCGAGGUGAAAUACUCUUUAAUCCUGAAAGAAUGUGAAAAUUUACUUCCCACUUGCCUCCCACAAUUUAAUUCUCCCCUUAAUAAACCCAUUUGGAAAGAUCAAAUGUGAGAUCUGCCUAAAAUUGUGCAGUUUAUACUUGGUUUUAGUCCCGAAUUAUGAGAAGGGUUUCAUUUGAACCAGGAAUUUCCCUUUCAGUGCCUGCAUAUAUAAAUUGCAUUGACAUUGCUAAUUGUGCCUGACAUUGCUAAUUGUGCCUUGGUAUCGGCUGCUAAAGGAGAAGGUCCCAGGCAUGCCAACUCUUAUUCCACAAGGAGAUACUGGAAUAGGUUGGUUCCUACCCAGGGUGGGACAAAAACAGCUUCAGUGCUUAAACUCAGAUAGGACUCUCCAGGGCAGAAACCUAGUUGCAUUGACAUCUGGAGCCAGAAUCUGGUGAGAGUCAUUUUUCUUUGCACCUGCAAGCUGGCUAGAGACUACAGUUAGCAUACAUAGAGUGCGCCUGGAAUGAAAAGUGAGGCUUUUGGAUAAGAGAGUUUGGCUACUACAAUUCCUGAGCAUUGGCAGUCCUCAGACUAUGCACUGGAGACAUGUGAAAGCAUUGGGGUAUUAGUAGUACACAAGUCACUACCAACAGUUCUGCCUUCAAACCAUUUCCUCUAGAAUUUUAAAAAACAUUUCUAUCCUGCCUUUCCAUUAUAGAGUGUCCAAGGCACUAUAUAACUUAAGAUCCACAGAAUGUUAACACCUGGAUUUCUUCCGAAUGACCCAAUAUGGUUAUCAUGCAUGUAUAAAUGAACUUACUCUAAAAUCUAUGGCUUGAGUAUUGCAGCAGAAAUAUCAAGAAAUCAGUGAUCAUCCAAUCCUGCUAGUAUGUCCCUCUCUGAAUUCAGUUUGAGACACCUAGACUGCAAGUCACAAUUUGUGUGUUAGAAGGUGGAGCACAACUAUUUCCACAACAGAAUGAAUCCUGCCUAAGUGCCAAACAUGCCAUGCUCACUGGCAGGAGGACAAACAGAGCCUCCCCCAGAGAUCUUAAGGCACAAGUUGGCAGGUGUUAGUGAAGGUGCUUUGGCAAGUACUUGUAAUAAAUCAUACAAGUUUAACAAAAGCACUUAUUACUCAACUAUUUAGACUGUCUUGAACAACUUUCCAGUAUCCUUGAAGGACAGGGGCCUUCUCUGUGGUGGCUCCCAGAUUAUGGAACACUCCCUCCCUGUAAAGUUGCAUAUGUCUCCCAUGUUGGCAUCAUUUUGCUGACAGUUGGGUGACAAGGGUUGGCAGUCUGUUAUUCCUUGCCUGCUGUGUUGUGAACCUAAACUGUUUUGAGUAUUUUUAUAUAGAAAAUAUAUGGAGGUGGGGGGAGGGUGCUGAGCAGAAAGCGAAAACACUUCCUUUACUAUGUGUGUGUCUCCAUGGGCUCCUAUUGGAAGGAGGACAGGGUAAAAAAUAUAACAGAUGGGGGGGGGGAGAAAAAAUAUUGUGGGAUGCAUUAUUACUAGAGCAGUCAAGUACAAAGUUUUCUUGUUGCCUAGAAUGGACACACAGCGGAAUGUGACUCCAGACAGGGAGGACUUCCUGUCAUACCUUCUCUGGAGCUUCUUCCCCGUGUGUGUGACCCUAGCUGACCAGAUAAAAGGGCAAGCCACGCAACCAUCUCCCUCUUGCUCUCUUGGACCCUCGCUGUCCUGGCUCUUAUCCAGCGCACCGCUCAACCAUCAAAUAGGAUGGAGCCCAAAAGCAGAAAGUCUGAGAUGUAGCUCAGACUUCUUUUCACUGUAGCCACAAGAUAAAACCUGCCUUCAGAUUACUGCUGUGAACUGAAUGUGAGUAAAAAGUUUAUUCUUACUUUUAAAGAAUACUGUGUUGUGUUAUUCUUAUUUUAAGAGGGAAAUAAAGGGGAAACUUACCAGGAACAAUCCAAACUGGACAAGCCAGGCUGGAUUGCUUAAGUAAAGGAUUAUAACGAAUCAUCAACCUGCUUCCAAUAAGUUGCAAAGGGAAUGUGCUCUGCUGUUUACUUGCUAGCGUGAGUGAGGAGGGAUAAUAUUCAAACAAUAUAUCCUUUCCUACCUUCCUUAACAUUCCCACAAAUAUGAAAGAUUAUGUGCCAUUUUUAAACGUAGUGAAACAAACAGGGAUCAACUGUAUCCUCAGGACAAUUAUCCUGGAGAAUAGCCCAAUGGGCUUCAAGGAGAGAAUCCUGAACUAAGCCAUUUGUAGACUGGAAAUUGUGUGUACAAAAGUAACUGAAUCUGUGGUCCUGAAAACACCUGCAAAAUUGUACAUCUUCAGAUUUUUUCUUAGAUGCAAGUGGAAUGUGUUAGGCCCCCUCUUCUGUCAGUGGGCCCAUGUGGAUUUAUCUGGCUGUGGUGGGCAAGGCUCCAAGGAGAAGCACUGUGUCUAGCCUCUGUCUUAAUUUUCCACAAUUGCCUGUAACAAUGCUAGGUAGGAAUUAUUAUCAUAAAAGAAUAGCUAGAUCCAGCUCCCUGGCACUGCUUUGAAUGCAAGGCCGGGUGUGUGUGUGCAAGGAGCAGGCAUCAGCCCUGCCAGGUACUUAGAUCCUAGCAACUCCCAAGGAUGUGGUUGGGGAAGGGCCAUAGUUUAGUGAUGAGAUGUAUGCUUUGC
rnacentral:lncRNA from 1 species